AUUGAACGCUGGCGGCAGGCCUAACACAUGCAAGUCGAACGAGUGGCGGACGGGUGAGUAAUGUCUGGGAAACUGCCCGAUGGAGGGGGAUAACUACUGGAAACGGUAGCUAAUACCGCAUACCAUCGGAUGUGCCCAGAUUGGAUUAGCUAGUAGGUGGGGUAACGGCUCACCUAGGCGACGAUCCCUAGCUGGUCUGCGAGGAUGACCAGCCACACUGGAACUGAGACACGGGCCAGACUCCUACGGGAGGCAGCAGUGGGGAAUAUUGCACAAUGGGCGCAAGCCUGAUGGAGCCAUGCCGCGUGUAUGAAGAAGGCCUUCGGGUUGUAAAGUACUGUCAGCGAGGAGGCGUUACUCGCAGAGGAAGCACCGGCUAACUCCGUGCCAGCAGCCGCGGUAAUAC
rnacentral:rRNA from 1 species